rnacentral:tRNA from 1 species
UAUGUAGCUCAAUGCAGAGAGCGUUGGAUUCGUAACCUAAAGUUCGUGGUUUCAAAUCCACCAUA